ensembl:rRNA 5S_rRNA 5S ribosomal RNA
GUCUAUGGCCAUGUCACCCUGAACAUGCCCAAUCUCAUCAGAUCUCUGAAGAUGAGCAGGGUCGGGCCUGGUUAGUACUUGGAUGGGGGUGAGCACCUAGGAGUACCAGGUGCUGUACGCA